UACGGAGGGGACUAGCGUUGUUCGGAAUUACUGGGCGUAAAGCGCACGUAGGCGGAUUUGUAAGUCAGGGGUGAAAUCCCGAGGCUCAACCUCGGAACUGCCUUUGAUACUGCAAAUCUCGAGUCCGGAAGAGGUGAGUGGAAUUCCUAGUGUAGAGGUGAAAUUCGUAGAUAUUCGGAAGAACACCGGUGGCGAAGGCGACUCACUGGACAUGUAUUGACGCUGAGGUGCGAAAGCGUGGGGAGCAAACAGG
rnacentral:rRNA from 1 species